rnacentral:rRNA from 1 species
GUGGGGAAUAUUGGGCAAUGGGCGAAAGCCUGACCCAGCAACGCCGCGUGAAGGAAGAAGGCUUUCGGGUUGUAAACUUCUUUUGUCAGGGACGAAAAAAAUGACGGUACCUGACGAAUAAGCCACGGCUAACUACGUGCCAGCAGCCGCGGUAAUACGUAGGUGGCAAGCGUUAUCCGGAUUUACUGGGUGUAAAGGGCGUGUAGGCGGGAAAGCAAGUCAGAUGUGAAAACUAUGGGCUCAACCCAUAGCCUGCAUUUGAAACUGUUGUUCUUGAGUGUCGGAGAGGUAAUCGGAAUUCCGUGUGUAGCGGUGAAAUGCGUAGAUAUACGGAGGAACACCAGUGGCGAAGGCGGAUUACUGGACGAUAACUGACGCUGAGGCGCGAAAGCGUGGGGAGCAAACAGGAUUAGAUACCCCGGUAGUCC